rnacentral:rRNA from 1 species
UACGUAGGUGGCAAGCGUUGUCCGGAAUUAUUGGGCGUAAAGGGCUCGUAGGCGGUUUGUCGCGUCUGCUGUGAAAACUCGGGGCUCAACCUCCAGCCUGCAGUGGGUACGGGCAGACUAGAGUGCGGUAGGGGAGAUUGGAAUUCCUGGUGUAGCGGUGGAAUGCGCAGAUAUCAGGAGGAACACCGAUGGCGAAGGCAGAUCUCUGGGCCGUAACUGACGCUGAGGAGCGAAAGCAUGGGGAGCGAACAGG